rnacentral:rRNA from 1 species
UACAGAGGGUGCAAGCGUUGUUCGGAAUUACUGGGCGUAAAGCGCGUGUAGGCGGCUCUGCAAGUCGGGUGUGAAAUCCCACGGCUCAACCAUGGAAGUGCACUCGAAACUGCAGGGCUAGAGUUCUGGAGAGGAAGGUGGAAUGCUUGGUGUAGAGGUGAAAUUCGUAGAUAUCAAGCGGAACACCGGUGGCGAAGGCGGCCUUCUGGACAGUAACUGACGCUGAGACGCGAAAGCGUGGGGAGCAAACAGG